AUUGAACGCUGGCGGCAGGCCUAACACAUGCAAGUCGGGCGAGCGGCGGACGGGAGAGUAAUGUAUGGGGAACUGCCUGAUGGAGGGGGAUAACUACUGGAAACGGUAGCUAAUACCGCAUACCAUAAGAUGCACCAAUAUGGGAUUAGGUAGUUGGGGAGGUAAAGGAGCACCAAGCCGACGAUCUCUAGCUGGUCUGAGAGGAUGACCAGCCACCCUGUGACUGAGCCACGGCCCAGACUCCUACUGGAGGCAGCAGUGGGGAAUAUUGCGCAAGUGGGGCAACCCUGACGCAGCCAUGCCGCGUGAAUGAAGAAGGCCUUCGUGUUGUAAAGUUCUUUCGGUAGCGAGGCGUUAACUACAGAAGAAGCACCGGCUAACUCCGUGCCAGCCGCCGCGGUAAUUC
rnacentral:rRNA from 1 species